rnacentral:rRNA from 1 species
UACGGAGGGAGCUAGCGUUGUUCGGAAUUACUGGGCGUAAAGCGCGCGUAGGCGGCUUUGUAAGUUAGAGGUGAAAGCCCGGGGCUCAACCCCCGGAACUGCCUUUAAAACUGCAUCGCUUGAAUCCGGGAGAGGUGAGUGGAAUUCCGAGUGUAGAGGUGAAAUUCGUAGAUAUUCGGAAGAACACCAGUGGCGAAAGGCGGCUCACUGGACCGGCAUUGACGCUGAUGUGCGAAAGCGUGGGGAGCAAACAGG